CAGGGAGUAGUUUAUUUAAAAUAUUAACUUUGGAGGUUGAUGAUAGGUAUAUUUGUCUUUUCCCUGA
rnacentral:tRNA from 1 species